rnacentral:rRNA from 1 species
UACGGAGGGGACUAGCGUUGUCCGGAUUCAUUGGGCGUAAAGAGCGUGUAGGCGGCCAGGUAGGUCGGUUGUGAAAACUGGAGGCUCAACCUUCAGAGGUCGACCGAAACCAUCUGGCUAGAGUCCGGGAGAGGAGAGUGGAAUUCCUGGUGUAGCGGUGAAAUGCGCAGAUAUCAGGAAGAACACCCGUGGCGAAAGCGGCUCUCUGGAACGGUACUGACGCUGAGACGCGAAAGCGUGGGGAGCGAACAGG